rnacentral:rRNA from 1 species
UACGAAGGGGGCUAGCGUUGCUCGGAAUCACUGGGCGUAAAGCGCACGUAGGCGGAUUCUUAAGUCGGUGGUGAAAUCCUGGAGCUCAACUCCAGAACUGCCUUCGAUACUGAGAGUCUUGAGUCCGGGAGAGGUGAGUGGAGCUGCGAGUGUAGAGGUGAAAUUCGUAGAUAUUCGCAAGAACACCAGUGGCGAAGGCGGCUCACUGGCCCGGUACUGACGCUGAGGUGCGAAAGCGUGGGGAGCAAACAGG